UGCAUAUCAAUAAGCGGAGGAAAAGAAACUAACAAGGAUUCCCCUAGUAACUGCGAGUGAAGCGGGAAAAGCUCAAAUUUAAAAUCUGGCAGUCUUUGGCUGUCCGAGUUGUAAUCUAGAGAAGUAUUAUCCGCGCUGGACCGUGUACAAGUCCCCUGGAAUGGGGCGUCAUAGAGGGUGAGAAUCCCGUCUUUGACACGGACUGCCAGGGCUUUGUGAUGUGCUCUCAAAGAGUCGAGUUGUUUGGGAAUGCAGCUCAAAAUGGGUGGUAAAUUCCAUCUAAAGCUAAAUAUUGGCGAGAGACCGAUAGCGAACAAGUACCGUGAGGGAAAGAUGAAAAGAACUUUGGAAAGAGAGUUAAACAGUACGUGAAAUUGCUGAAAGGGAAACGCUUGAAGUCAGUCGCGUUGGCCAGGGAUCAACCUUGCUUUUUUGCUUGGCUUACUUUCUGGUUGAUGGGUCAGCAUCAAUUUUGACUGGUGGAAAAAGUUCAAGGGAAUGUGGCAUCUUCGGAUGUGUUAUAGACUUUGUUCACAUACAUCAGUUGGGAUUGAGGAACUCAGCAUGCCGCAAGGCCGGGUUUUUAACCACGUACGUGCUUAGGAUGCUGACGUAAUGGCUUUAAACGAC
rnacentral:rRNA from 1 species